rnacentral:rRNA from 1 species
CCUACGGGUGGCUGCAGUGAGGAAUAUUGGUCAAUGGACGAGAGUCUGAACCAGCCAAGUAGCGUGAAGGAUGACUGCCCUAUGGGUUGUAAACUUCUUUUAUAUGGGAGUAAAAUGUUCCACGUGUGGGAUUUUGUAUGUACCAUAUGAAUAAGGAUAGGCUAACUCCGUGCCAGCAGCCGCGGUAAUACGGAGGAUCCGAGCGUUAUCCGGAUUUAUUGGGUUUAAAGGGAGCGUAGGUGGAUUGUUAAGUCAGUUGUGAAAGUUUGCGGCUCAACCGUAAAAUUGCAGUUGAAACUGGCAGUCUGGAGUACAGUAGAGGUGGGCGGAAUUCGUGGUGUAGCGGUGAAAUGCGUAGAUAUCACGAAGAACUCCAGUGGCGAAGGCAGCUCACUGGACUGCAACUGACACUGAGGCUCGAAAGUGUGGGUAGCAAACAGGAUUAGAUACCCUGGUAGUC